UAGAGUUUGAUCCUGGCUCAGAUUGAACGCUGGCGGCAUGCUUUACACAUGCAAGUCGAACGGGGUGAGGGGGCAACCCUUCAUUCAGUGGCGAACGGGUGAGUAAUGCAUCGGAACGUGUCCCGCAGUGGGGGAUAACUCAGCGAAAGCCGAGCUAGUACCGCAUACGCUCUGCGGAGGAAAGCGGGGGAUUCGCAAGAACCUCGUGCUAUGGGGGCGGCCGAUGUCCGAUUAGCUAGUUGGUGGGGUAAUGGCCUACCAAGGCGACGAUCGGUAGCUGGUCUGAGAGGAUGAUCAGCCACACUGGGACUGAGACACGGCCCAGACUCCUACGGGAGGCAGCAGUGGGGAAUUUUGGACAAUGGGGGCAACCCUGAUCCAGCCAUGCCGCGUGCGGGAAGAANGCCUUCGGGUUGUAAACCGCUUUUAGCCGGGACGAAAGCUGUACGGAUAACACCCGUGCAGGUUGACGGUACCGGCGGAAUAAGCACCGGCUAACUACGUGCCAGCAGCCGCGGUAAUACGUAGGGUGCGAGCGUUAAUCGGAAUUACUGGGCGUAAAGCGUGCGCAGGCGGUUCGUUGUGUCGGCGGUAAAGCCCCCGGGCUUACCUGGGAAUGGCCGUUUAAACUGGCCAACUGGAAUGUGGCAAAAGGGGGGUGGAAUUCCNCCUUUAACAGNNGAAAGCCGAAAGAUGCCGAGGAACACCGAUGGCCAAGGCAGCCCCCUUGGCUUAACUUAACCUCAGGACCGAAGGCUUGGGGACCAACGGGAUUAGAUACCCUGG
rnacentral:rRNA from 1 species